rnacentral:rRNA from 1 species
CAAAGGCUUGGUCCUGACUUUACUAUCAUCUUUGGCCAAACUUACACAUGCAAGUCUCCGCCUCCCUGUGAGAAUGCCCACAGUUUUCUGUUUGAAAACAAGGAGCUGGUAUCAGGCACGCUUUCCUAGCAGCCCACAACACCUUGCUUAGCCACACCUUCAAGGGAACUCAGCAGUGAUAAACAUUAAGCUAUGAGUGAAAACUCGACUUAGUUAAAGCCAAGAGAGCCGGUAAAACUCGUGCCAGCCACCGCGGUUAUACGAGAGGCUCAAGUUGAUAGACACCGGCGUAAAGAGUGGUUAAGAAAUUCCAAAAACUAAAGCCGAACACUCUCAGAACUGUUAUACGUACCCGAGAGCAAGAAGCCCCACCACGAAAGUGACUUUAUAAUUCUGACCCCACGAAAGCUGUGAAACAAACUGGGAUUAGAUACCCCACUAUGCCCAGCCCUAAACCUUGAUAGCCCACUACACCCGCUAUCCGCCCGGGCACUACGAGCAUUAGCUUAAAACCCAAAGGACUUGGCGGUGCUUUAGAUCCACCUAGAGGAGCCUGUUCUAGAACCGAUAACCCCCGUUAAACCUCACCCUCCCUUGCUUUUUCCGCCUAUAUACCGCCGUCGUCAGCUUACCCUGUGAAGGAUCUAUAGUAAGCAAAAUUAGCACAACUCAAAACGCCAGGUCGAGGUGUAGCAUAUGAGAGGGGAAGAAAUGGGCUACAUUCUCUGCUACAGAGAAUACGAAAAAUAUAAUGAAACGUAUAU